ACUCCUACGGGAGGCAGCAGUGGGGAAUAUUGCACAAUGGGCGCAAGCCUGAUCCAGCAAUACCGCGUGCAGGAAGAAGGCCUUCGGGUUGUAAACUGCUUUUGUACGGAACGAAAAGGUCUUGGUUAAUACCUGGGGCUCAUGACGGUACCGUAAGAAUAAGCACCGGCUAACUACGUGCCAGCAGCCGCGGUAAUACGUAGGGUGCGAGCGUUAAUCGGAAUUACUGGGCGUAAAGCGUGCGCAGGCGGUUAUGUAAGACAGGUGUGAAAUCCCCGAGCUCAACUUGGGAAUUGCACUUGUGACUGCAUAACUAGAGUGCGGCAGAGGGGGAUGGAAUUCCGCGUGUAGCAGUGAAAUGCGUAGAUAUGCGGAGGAACACCGAUGGCGAAGGCAAUCCCCUGGGCCUGCACUGACGCUCAUGCACGAAAGCGUGGGGAGCAAACAGGAUUAGAUACCCUGGUAGGUCAGU
rnacentral:rRNA from 1 species